UAUGGCAGCCAUAUCACCCUGUAGCCCAAGACUGGUUGCCCACUGAAGCUAAGCAGGGCUGAGCCUGGUCAGUACCUGGAUGGGAGACCUCCCGGGAAAACUAUGUUGAGGUGGAAG
rnacentral:rRNA from 1 species